AAAGCUUCACCCCACAGUCCAUCCUGCAGCAAAUGUCCCCCUCACAGCUACACGCUUGAUGAAGCAUCCACAUCUUGCCUGUGUGAAGAGCACUAUUUUAGGAGAGAAUCAGACCCACCUACAAUGGCCUGUACAAGACCCCCCUCUGCUCCUCGGAGUGCCAUCUCAAAUGUAAACGAGACUAGUGUCUUUCUGGAAUGGAUUCCCC